rnacentral:rRNA from 1 species
AUGGGCCUGCCCAGGCGGGGGUGUAUAUACACCCAAGAGCCAAAUAUGUUUGUCCGAUUUAACCACCUCGCGUCGACUACAAGCACCGGAGUGAGCCUAAGGCACUCUGUCGUCAUCGCUCCCUCGCUCACCAAAAACAUACGAAUACAUGAACGAAGACCAGAUCCAAGUAGAUCAACUGAAGACAAAACGUUGACUGAAUCCCAUGAGACCCGCACCAAUAUAAAAAGAGUGAGCUUCAACAUAUCUCAUCCAUUCAACUGUGCCUGUCCAGUGAUCUAUGUUGCCCAACCUUUCCCCAUUCUCCGAUCCACUCCUCUCCUGGCUGCUCCCCGGCCAGCAGCAACCGUCGACCGGGAGCGCAGCUCGCCUUGUGUCGCGGCGGAGCAGGCGGCGGAACAGCCGGAGGAUGAGGAAGCUGGUGGGGGCGCGCGAGGGGAGGCGGCGACUCCCAGGCCAGCGCAGAUCAGCGGGGCUCCGACGCCGUGGGAGUUCGUCGUGGACGCCGACGGGGCGCCUGAGGAUAUGGCUCAGACGGAGGUGGUGCGGCGCGAGCACUCGGUGGCUGGGGCACGACGCGGAUGCAGCUGCGUGGUUGCGUCUGGAGUGCGAGGAAGCGGGCGGAGGCCCGCUAGACUCCGGUGGAUGUGGCCCUUGGUCGCCGCCGUCCGCUGGUCUCUUCGUCCGGCGAAUCGACGCCGGAUUUGUAGGAUCCAACGGCGUGGGGUGGCUCUGGUGACCUUGCGCAAGGACGGCGCGCAUGGGGAAGACAACCACCAUGGCCUUGUAGGGUCCUACGAAGGAGCAGCUACCCCUCACUACCCUUCCCCGAUCCCUGGCCAUGGCGACUUCCUCCGCGCCCACAUGCGGCCCGCCGCAACCCUAGUUAACCACAGGUCACCAACGCCCCGCGCCUCCUCUGUCUUGUCGAUCUACUGCCCCGCGCCUCCUCUGGUUUGUCGACCUACUGCCCCGCGCCACGUCUCCGCACGCGCCGCUCCCGGCUCGGCCUUGGUGGUGCUGCUCCGCCUCAGCAAUCUCGACUCCGACGCCGCUCACGGUUCAGCAAGCCACUCCUCCUCUGACCCGCUCUUCUCUUACACUAUUUGGUUCUUUCUGUGGCAGGCCAGGGCGGAUUCUUUGCCGGCCAUCGUGAUGACAAUCCACUCUACCUUGACUGCUCAUCCCGAUCCACCGCCGCGGGCGCUGGCUUGCACCGGCAUCAAUGAUGUUUCCAAAGGGAUUUUUGUUGGUCUGCAGCAGCUUUGUGGGACGAAAUGCACACCUGAAUUGGAGCAUUGCCAGUCAGUUCUAGUACCGAACCAUGGGCAGGGUGGCGGUAAUUCAUCCUAUAACAAUGUCAUAGAAGGCAUUCGCAGGAAGUUCAUAGAGAAGCUUGUCAUCCAACAUGAAGGACGAUGGAGACGAAGAUGA